GGAGCAGAUGGUCAGUGCGACUAAAGCCAUGAGAAUAGAAGAAGUGAACCAAAAGUUUGUCUAUUAAUAAUAUGUUAGAGUACAAGGGAGGUUCGAUUCCUCCCUGCUCCG
rnacentral:tRNA from 1 species